rnacentral:rRNA from 1 species
GUGGGGAAUAUUGCGCAAUGGGGGGAACCCUGACGCAGCCAUGCCGCGUGAAUGAAGAAGGCCUUCGGGUUGUAAAGUUCUUUCGGUAUUGAGGAAGGUUGAUGUGUUAAUAGUACAUCAAAUUGACGUUAAAUACAGAAGAAGCACCGGCUAACUCCGUGCCAGCAGCCGCGGUAAUACGGAGGGUGCGAGCGUUAAUCGGAAUAACUGGGCGUAAAGGGCACGCAGGCGGUUAUUUAAGUGAGGUGUGAAAGCCCCGGGCUUAACCUGGGAAUUGCAUUUCAGACUGGGUAACUAGAGUACUUUAGGGAGGGGUAGAAUUCCACGUGUAGCGGUGAAAUGCGUAGAGAUGUGGAGGAAUACCGAAGGCGAAGGCAGCCCCUUGGGAAUGUACUGACGCUCAUGUGCGAAAGCGUGGGGAGCAAACAGGAUUAGAAACCCGAGUAGUCC